UUAAGUCAGUUUUAUUAUCACGUUUAAGUUAGUGGGAUUAAGGGUCAGUUUAUUUAUCCCAUUUAAGUUAGUGGGGUUAGGUAGUUUAUAAGUUUUAAAAGAACAAACAACAACUUACGUUAGUUCAUUCAUCAGAUUCAAACAACAGACAGUCAGAAAGGCUUAAUAUCAGGGAAGAAGAAAGAUAGAGGAGAGGGAAAGAGAUUGCUGAUUAAGGCUACUAAGAGGAUUUUCGGAUUUGCUACUUGAAAGUAAAAUUUACGAGAUCAUGUUGUGAUUUGGUCAACCACGCGGGAAUUUUGGGGAGUGAUGUUUAAUUUAGUAGCACUUAAAUUAUCUAGGAUUUAUUUAAAUAUUAUGAACAUCGAACUUUCUUAAUUAGUAUUCAGACUUUUAUCUUGACUUAGUAGCUUUAUGGUUUUGGAGAUUUAAUUUUGAAUAUUGUCAAAUUAUGAUAUUUGGAAAUUCUGUCAACAGAUAUAGUUUAUAAAUCACUAAAUUCUUCAGGUAUAUUAGUCUCUUUUAGUAAUGGUUUAAGAUAUAUAUUUUAGAGCCUUGCAUGUCUGUGGGAUUAUACCUUACAGGUAUGCGGCGUCUGUCAUGUCUCGGGUCUGGGGCGUG